CGGUCAAAUAUCGAUUAAAAAAAUGGAAUUUUUCGGAAUUUUUCAAAAUGGCGGAUGAUGAAUAUCCCAUAAUAUGGAAAUGUUGCAUCAAAUCAAGGAUUUGUAUAGUAAGACUUUCCUAGAUUAUAUUAAUAUUUUCAUGCAGAAUCUCUGAUGUUUCUGUUCUUUUCUUUGGUGAUAUUUCGAUAUGAUUGAUUUCAAAAUUUCUUGAUAAAAAAAAUAUUUUAAGUGUGACACGGGAACAUUUAUUUGACAGAUGCUGAUAUCCAGGAUAUACUGUUACCAGAAAAUAGUUUACAAUAAAAUUAAAAUAAAAUUUUUCUCUUCUUUUUUUUAAAGGUGUUUUUUCUGUAUAUUUUAUCUUUCUUUAGAAAU
rnacentral:lncRNA from 1 species